rnacentral:rRNA from 1 species
GUGGGGAAUCUUCCACAAUGGACGAAAGUCUGAUGGAGCAACGCCGCGUGAGUGAAGAAGGGUUUCGGCUCGUAAAGCUCUGUUGUCGGGGACGAAUGUGCAGUAUUUGAAUAAAGUAGUGCAAUGACGGUACCUGACGAGGAAGCCACGGCUAACUACGUGCCAGCAGCCGCGGUAAUACGUAGGUGGCAAGCGUUGUCCGGAAUUAUUGGGCGUAAAGGGAGCGCAGGCGGGAAGGUAAGUCGGUCUUAAAAGUGCGGGGCUCAACCCCGUGAUGGGAUCGAAACUAUCUUUCUUGAGUGCAGGAGAGGAAAGUGGAAUUCCUAGUGUAGCGGUGAAAUGCGUAGAUAUUCGGAAGAACACCAGUGGCGAAGGCGACUCACUGGCCCGUUACUGACGCUGAGGCGCGAAAGCGUGGGGAGCAAACAGGAUUAGAAACCCGUGUAGUCC